UGGUGUUGAUGUUGAGGGUGAGGGGAAUGAAGGAGGUGUCCAAGAAGCACCUGUUGAUGAAACAGUUGCAGACGAAGCAACUGCUGAUGAAGGAGUUGUUUAUGAAGCAGCUUUUGAUGAAACAACUGGAGAUGAAGAUGGUGCACAUGAAGAAGCUGCAGCUGCAACACCUGUUGAUGAAGCAGCUGCAGAUGAGCAACCUGUUCAUCAAGGAGUUGUAGACGAACAAGCUGUU
rnacentral:lncRNA from 1 species